UUGCCUUAGUAACGGCGAGUGAAGCGGCAAAGCUCAAAUUUGAAAUCUGGCACCUUCGGUGUCCGAGUUGUAAUUUGAAGAAGGUAACUUUGGAGUUGGCUCUUGUCUAUGUUCCUUGGAACAGGACGUCACAGAGGGUGAGAAUCCCGUGCGAUGAGAUGCCCAAUUCUAUGUAAAGUGCUUUCGAAGAGUCGAGUUGUUUGGGAAUGCAGCUCUAAGUGGGUGGUAAAUUCCAUCUAAAGCUAAAUAUUGGCGAGAGACCGAUAGCGAACAAGUACAGUGAUGGAAAGAUGAAAAGAACUUUGAAAAGAGAGUGAAAAAGUACRUGAAAUUGUUGAAAGGGAAGGGCUUGAGAUCAGACUUGGUAUUUUGCGAUCCUUUCCUUCUUGGUUGGGUUCCUCGCAGCUUACUGGGCCAGCAUCGGUUUGGAUGGUAGGAUAAUGACUAAGGAAUGUGGCUCUACUUCGGUGGAGUGUUAUCGCCUUGGUUGAUACUGCCUGUCUAGACCGAGGACUGCGUCUUUGACUAGGAUGUUGGCAUAAUGAU
rnacentral:rRNA from 1 species